AACUGCUCCGGUGGCCUAGUGGUUAGAGCAUCAGCCUCGGAUGCGGGAGGUCGCGGGUUCGAACCCAGGCCUAGUCA